rnacentral:pre_miRNA from 1 species
UUAUUACUCCCUCCGUCCAACAAAAGAUGUCUCAAGUUUGUCAAAAUUUGGAUGUAUCUAGACAUGACUUAGUGUAUAGAUGCAUUCAAAUUUGGUCAAAGUUGAGACAUCCUUUGUUGGACGGAGGGAGUAGAAA